CAGCCGCCGCGGGAAAACGGAGGGGGCUAGCGUUGUUCGGAAUUACUGGGCGUAAAGCGCACGUAGGCGGCUUGGUAAGUUAGAGGUGAAAGCCCGGAGCUCAACUCCGGAAUUGCCUUUAAGACUGCCGAGCUAGCAGGUGAGAGAGGUAAGUGGAAUUCCGAGUGUAGAGGUGAAAUUCGUAGAUAUUCGGAAGAACACCAGUGGCGAAGGCGGCUUACUGGCUCAUACUGGACGCUGAGGUGCGAAAGCGUGGGGAGCAAACAGGAUUAGAUACCCCCGUAGUCCCUGUCUCUUAUAC
rnacentral:rRNA from 1 species